rnacentral:rRNA from 1 species
AAAAACAUCUUUUCUUGUUAGUUUCUGAAGUAUGGCCUGCCCGCUGACGUAUAUUUGAGUUGAAGGGCCGCGGUAUUUUGACCGUGCAAAGGUAGCAUAGUCAUUAGUUCUUUAAUUGUGAUCUGGUAUGAAUGGCUUGACGAGACAUAGGCUGUCUUAAGGUGUGGAAUUUGUUGUUGAAUUUUGAGUUUGAGUUAAAAUUCUUAGAUGUUUUUAUGGGACGAGAAGACCCUAUAGAGUUUGACAUUUGACUGCGUAUUUCUUGUUGUUUGUUUUAAAUUUUUGCGAGUCUCUUGUUUUGUUGGGGUGAUGGGAGGAAUAUUAUUUAACUCCUCUUUUUGUGUAGUAUAUUGAUAUAUAUAUAUAUUGAUCC